rnacentral:rRNA from 1 species
GAAAUGCAGGCGAGAAACCUGCACACCGAUAGACUAAGGUUUCCUGAGCGACGCUAAUCGUCUCAGGGUUAGUCGGGACCUAACGCGAACCCGAAGGGGGUAGUGGAUGGAUAAUGGGUUAAUAUUCCCAUACUUGUUAUAACUGCGAUGGGGUGACGGAGUGAUGAAAGAACCGCGGACUGACGGAAUAGUUCGUUAAAGCCAGUAACUAUAGGACCUGUAGGCAAAUCCGCAGGUCUUGGUGAAGGUGAUAGUACCAAGAGGCUUCGGCCAAUUGGAUAGUGUUCCUAAGGGCUUCCAAGAAAAACCUCUAAGCUUCAGGUUAUAGCAACUCGUACCGCAAACCGACACAGGUAGUCAAGGAGAGAAUCCUAAGGUGCUCGAGUGAAUCAUGGCUAAGGAACUAGGCAAAAUGGUCUCGUAACUUCGGGAGAAGAGACGCCAACAGCAAUGUUGGCCGCAGUAAAUAGGCCCAGGCAACUGUUUAUCAAAAACACAUGGCUUUGCAAAAUCGAAAGAUGACGUAUAAGGCCUGACACCUGCCCGGUGCUGGAAGGUUAAGAGGAGAUGUUAGUUUCGGCGAAGCAUUGAAUUGAAGCCCCAGUAAACGGCGGCCGUAACAAUAACGGUCCUAAGGUAGCGAAAUUCCUUGUCGGGUAAGUUCCGACCUGCACGAAUGGUGUAAUGAUCUGGGUACUGUCUCAGCCAUGAGCUCGGUGAAAUUGUAGUAUCGGUGAAGAUGCCGAUUACCCGCAACGGGACGAAAAGACCCCGUGAACCUUUACUAUAGCUUCACAUUGACAUUGGGUAAUUCAUGUGUAGGAUAGGUGGGAGACGUUGAGGCUGCAUCGCCAGGUGUAGUUUAGUCGUCCUUGAAAUACCACCCUUGAAUUAUCUGAUGUCUAACGCUUACUAGUCGUAAGCGAACAUUGUGUGGUGGGUAGUUUGACUGGGGUGGUCGCCUCCAAAAGAGUAACGGAGGCUCCUAAAGGUACCCUCAGCACGCUUGGUAACCGUGCGUAGAGUGUAAUGGCAUAAGGGUGCUUGACUGAGAGACCGACAAGUCGAUCAGGUAGGAAACUAGAGCAUAGUGAUCCGGUGGUUCCGCAUGGAAGGGCCAUCGCUCAAAGGAUAAAAGGUACUCCGGGGAUAACAGGCUGAUCACUCCCAAGAGCUCACAUCGACGGAGUGGUUUGGCACCUCGAUGUCGGCUCGUCACAUCCUGGGGCUGGAGAAGGUCCCAAGGGUUGGGCUGUUCGCCCAUUAAAGUGGCACGCGAGCUGGGUUCAGAACGUCGUGAGACAGUUCGGUCUCUAUCUGUUGUGGGCGUUAGAAAUUUGAGAGGACCUGCCUCUAGUACGAGAGGACCGGGGUGGACGAACCUCUGGUGUACCUGUUGUGGCGCCAGCUGCAUCGCAGGGUAGCUAUGUUCGGAUGAGAUAAGCGCUGAAAGCAUCUAAGCACGAAACUCGCCUCAAGAUGAGAUUUCUUUUAAGGGCCGUGGAAGACGACCACGUUGAUAGGUUACAGGUGUAAAGACAGUAAUGUCAAAGCCGAGUAAUACUAAUUACCUGA